GCUGGGUGUGGUGGUGCAUGCCUGUAAUCCCAGCUACUCAGGAGGCUGAGGCAUGAGAAUCAUUUGAACCCAGGAGGCAGAGGUUGCAGUGAGCUGAGAUCGCGCCACUGCACUCCAUCCUGGGUGACAGAGUGAGACUCUGUCUCAA
ensembl:misc_RNA Metazoa_SRP Metazoan signal recognition particle RNA